UACGUAGGGUGCAAGCGUUAAUCGGAAUUACUGGGCGUAAAGCGUGCGCAGGCGGUUCGUUGUGUCUGAUGUGAAAGCCCCGGGCUUAACCUGGGAAUGGCAUUGGAAACUGGCGAGCUGGAGUGUGGCAGAGGGGGGUGGAAUUCCGCGUGUAGCAGUGAAAUGCGUAGAGAUGCGGAGGAACACCGAUGGCGAAGGCAGCCCCCUGGGCCAACACUGACGCUCAGGCACGAAAGCGUGGGGAGCAAACAGG
rnacentral:rRNA from 1 species